UAAGUCCACAUUUAUUCCUCCAUUUCUUAUAAAUAAUCAGAUUUAUUCCAUCAUCAGACACAAAACACAUCUGUUCCCACAUCUGCUUUAGUUAAUAAUCAUAAUUCAAUGAAUACACCAUGUUGUAUGGAUUAUCAGCUCUUGAUAUUAAGAAUCAUUUUAAAUGUGUGAUUAUUACACGUAAUUUUUUUAUUCCAGGAAUAAUUUGCUUAUUAUAAUCAGAACAAUUUUAAUCAUUUAAGUGUAACAUACUGUAUCAUAUAAACCCAUUACUUCAUUACGAUUCUUCAAUUCAAUGUGUUGUUAAAUAGAAAUAUAUAUUCCAUUUAGAAUAUUUGUCUAUGCACACUUUAUAUGAUCAUUUGUGAUGAUGAUGAUGAUGAUGAUGAUCUUUGAUUAAUGAGAAUUUCUUCCAAUUGAAAUCCAGUUGAAAACCAAAUGAAAUGAAAAAAAAAAAAAAAAAAAACUGGGCAGUUUUACAAUCAUAUCAUUGUACACUGGGCAUUUCUGCCCUCUAGUGGUUGAAAUCGGAAUCCCAAUUCAUCUCUCCUUCUGUUGACGGCUGUAAAUUUGUGGAGUGGUGUAGAUUUUUAGGAAGCUGAAGACUUACCCAAGCCCAAUCAAUAUCAUAGAGACAGAGGUGGACAUUGUUGAUAGCUAUAACAAUCCUGGUGUUCCCAUAGACAAGCUGGAAUGGAUUGAUUAAAUACAAAGAUGCAGGACAGUCACCUGUCUGGAGAAGCAUGCUGCAGAUGUUCUAACACUCCGUUGUAGCCAGUGUCAUCUACACUGUCGUGUGCUUUGGUAGCAGGGUGAAGACCAUUGAUGCCAAUCACACUCAAGCUUAUCAGGAAUGGUGAUGGAGUCUCUGGUUGAGGUGUUGGAGAGGGAAUGUUCAGAAAAACCAAACACUUGAGUCCUACUGGAGAACGUUCAGCCAAAGACCAAUUUAGACAACCACAGAACACCACAGAAUUCCAUGUUUGCUCUUCAUUCCAACCUGCUUGUCCAUGAUGAAAUCGCAGCUCACAGCUCACGAUGUAUAGAGGAUGAUGUCUUUUGGAACAAUGACUUAUGAAGGUCGGUGCUCCCUGUGACUGUGUGCAGCCUUGUGCUGCCAUCUGUUGGCGUGGUACAAAAUUACUCUUGAAACUUUUUGAUAAUGUUCAUUAGCACCCUCUGGGGUUUUUGAAUAGUUAUGUACAUUUAGAAUAUUUAGUUCAUUUUUCAAAAUUGUAUUUUUUUUUUUCUUGUCAUCUGAAGCAGUCUCUGGCACAACAAUUUCCUUCAGGAUUAAUAAAGUUCUUAUCUAAUCUUUCUUCAAGCAAAAGGACCUCCAACAUGUUUUGAAGCACAACAGAAAAAAAAAAAAACACCAGACGGCAGAUCACAGAGACGGCGUUUUAUUGAGCGAGUCUGAUUACGCAAACCUGAACAGUCACUUUAGUAAAUCGGGGAGGAAGGAAAACCUGAGCAGGAUCACGCUGGAUCAGAUUUUUGCGAUUUCUUGAAGCCUCUUUGGUCUCACACAUCUAAAAGAAAAUCUAUGAAAAGCUUAAAAGAUAUUUACAGAUCAUUUACAAGCAUCCGAUCCCUGCGCUGUUCGAGUGCUGCUUCGACACAUUUUCAUCAAAAAUCAAAAACAAACAA